AGAACCUAAUAAAAGUAUAUAUAAUGAGAAUAUUAAUUAUUAAAAAUUAUAUUUAAAGCUGGAACUAGGCUAGAAUAUUAUUAAUAGCACAAAGUCAUUGGUGCUAUUAAAUUUUCAGCCAUUGGAUGAAGCGAUGUACGGUUAGGAUGAUAGUGAUCCCCUAUAGUUGAUUGGGUGAUUGGUUGAAUAGUAUAAUCUAACGGAUGAAAAUAGUCAAAGAAAUUAAUUUAACGGCAGAAAACUUGAUAGCACCAAAUACUUGGUGCUAUCGAUAGCAUUGUAGCCGAACUCUUUAAAACUGUCCUAAUUAUUAUUUUUGGAAAAAAUUAUUCUUGGUCGCAACUAAAUAAGGGCUAAAUUAUAAAGGCUAAUAAAAUAUAAUACGAGAAAUUUUUUUUCUUUAUUUUUGUUUUAGUCCCUAGGCUUGAUGAAUCGAUGACCCAUAUAUAAGGUGUUCAUAACAAAAAAAAAAAAAGAAAAGAAAAAAGUUGAAGGGCCCAUUCGUAAUUUCCUGUACUAAAGGGGUCUCCAUACUUUUUAGCUACGUUUUUAUCCAAAAAUAAAAAAAGAGAAAUGGCAAGUUUACAACUGCAAAUUUAUCCAACUGCAAAAUGCAACCAUAUACUUGUUGGUGUCAGGUUGGGCCGAAUCACAUUAGAAAUAGCUGGAUAUCGAAUUGGGCUGAAACAUGUUCGAAGUGGCUUGAGACUGGUCGGAUCGAAUUAUAAUCGAGAUUCGUAAACGAUGUGUCUGAACACUUUAAGUGAAUUAGUUGCGUAUUUCUAAUAGCUCGAACUUUUAGGAUUACCAGUUAGCACUAAUAAAUCGACAGUACUUUUCUCUCUAUCUCAAGGAUCCUCUUUAACAAAACCAACCCUUCAACAAUUUAAGUGAAUUAGUUGAAGCACUAAUAUUUUUUUAUUUUUUUUUUUUUCACCACCCCUGA
rnacentral:lncRNA from 1 species